GGUCCGUCUUUGUUACACCAGCUAACUUAAAGAUAUUUCCUGUAUGGUUUCUUAGAUUUUGUUCAUUUGCAUGUAGUGUGGAUUACCAGCUUUGAACAUGUGCUUCUCCUUCUCUGUUGCCUCUAUUGUCUAGUGGGUUUGGGAUUCAUCCUUAAGAAUUUGAAUGGAAGCGAUGGUUCAUUGAAGUUCUCAGGAUACAUCUCAGGUCCUGAUGUUUACACAGGCCCAAAUUGAUGGGUAUACAAGUCCUGAUGUUUACACAGUGGAGGUCCUUCAAUAGUUCUAUAUCAAUUCAAGAUUUAUUUCCAAAAGACCAAUACAUAAAUUACUUAAUAACAUAGCGAUGAGCAGCGAAGUCGAUCUCAGAUAUAUCCACUGUUUUGUUGAACCUAAACUGCCCAAGAUAUUUACAUAUUGACUUUGGAGCCUUCAAUGACCUCUUUGGAGUUUAAAUUUCCACCAGGUAUAUGAGCAAUAGGCAGUGGGACCUGCUAUGUUAAGGUGGAUGACUAUGAUGUACUGGUGCUGAUGGGAGAAAUAUAUGCGGAGAGAGAGAAGGACCGAUUGUAAAUGGUGCUGGUCUUUUGCUAAGGCUGCCUGCCAGCAGGAUUGCCCCGUCUUUCUCUUUAUUGAGGACACUGUCGCGAAUCUCUGGACUAGAAGUAACUUUGUUGAUAUACCUGUGAAUUAUGAGAUCAAGAAAAAGAGGUGCAGGGCCCAGUGUUGCAAAGCUACACUUCAGCUUGCUGCCCCGCAGCCAAAGAAACUGACUAGAUUAUCGUUGUUGAAGUAUCCUCCUCGUCUAUUGCUAUUCCAUUCCCUACUCCUCUUUUCAGAUAUACCUGUGAAUUAUGAGAUCAAGAAAAAGAGGUGCAGGGCCCAGUGUUGCAAAGCUACACUUCAGCUUCCUGCCCCGCUGAUGCCAAAGAAACUGACUAGAGAGUGCACUGUUAGGAGAGAGAUUCGAUCUUCGCAUAAUAUUCUGUGGGGAAGUGCUUCCGAAUAGCAUGAUCCUGAGUCUGGAUUCCUCUGUCAGAUUGAAAGUUCAAGUCGGUCAAUUGAUCGAUCUCUUGCUCAUUGUACAGUUGGUGUAAACUGGAAAUCGAGAAGCUCUGUGCAGCCCUUUCAUCCAAUGCCAGAAACUAGAGCUGUAUGGAGACUGCAGCAUUCUGCAAAAGCUAUUUGCUCAGAGCUUCCUCAGCAGUCGUCCCAUCAGUGUGAUCAAUCUUCCACCCAAGUUGUGGUGACAGUGUAUUCUCUGAUGAAAGGUCAAGUGUGAAAAUGAAACUUGUUAACAUCUGGAAUAUCAAGUUACAAACUCUAGGGGAGUGCACAAGUCCACAUGAUGGGGAGUCAAAACAAGGCAUCCUCUUGCCCAAAAGGUAAGCUUUUUCUUCUAUAUGUAUGUAUUUGCGUCUCUUUGUAUGUGUUUCAGUUUUGGAUUUUUUUUCCUCUUUUGUUUUCCAUGUGUUAAAUGCUUGACCUGUUGUAUUUCUGCAUUUAGUUUUUGCUUGGAGCUGUCUUGGAGUACCCAUGUGGUUGUUGAGAUUGUGGAGAGUGAAAAUCACGUGUAGGGAAUUUUCUCCAAAUUUGAGGUAAACUAUCAACCAGUACUCUGUUCUUUUGUGUUUGAUGGGUUAUGUUUGAUUAUACGUUCAAAUUAAGCCAAGCUUUGCUCGGUUGAUUGACUUGUGAUGAGGAACAUGCGAAACUUAAAACAUUCAAUUGGCUAGGUUGAUAACAAAUUAUAUGGAAGAAAAUGUGUUUGGAGCUGAACUAGGAUAACCAAAUUUUCUAAGAGAGAAUGUGAAUAUAUAAAAAUGACAAAAGUAGUUGAAAAUUGUUACAUGCAUGGUUUUAACUUUUAGGGAUGAGUUGUAUUUGGUCAAAUGAUAUAUAUAAAGGUAGAUGUAUAUUUGUAUCCUGGUUAGGAAGAGUUAAAGAGAAGAAGGCCUAAACAACCUUUUUCUCCCCCACCCCACCUAGUUAAUUCUUUAAAGUUCGUUUUUAUCUCACACAAAAAAACUCUAUUUAUGACCCUUCGGGGUGGCUCUUGGGACUUCCAUGUUAGAAGUCUCAAGUUCGAAACCCCUUGCCAGCGAAAGCAAGGGGUUUGCCUUCUGGGUCGAGCUCGUCGUAUACAAAUAUCGGAGGUGCAAUAGAAAGCACCGAAGAAGAAUCAAGAGUCUGAAAUCCUACACUUGGCCCUUGAACUGGCGGUGUAGCACCAACUGUAAUAAGAGAGCCUAAAGUACCUGGAAGGACACCUGUUGCCCCCAUCACUAUGUUUGUCUCCCCAUUGGACCUCUCUGUGUGGUUUGCGAGCUAUUGCAUAGUAGCUGGGUUUACCCUGUGCGCACCCAAAGGAUAGCAGAUGCGGGUUUUCCUUGUCAUAAAAAAAAACUUUAUUUAUGGUCUUGUAGUCUUGUUACUUUUUUUCCCAAUCUUUCAGGUUAGUUCCCAUGGAUUAUCUUUAUCCCCAUUUUCUCCAUUUUCUCCAUUCUUGAUUUAGUGUUCUUGCUCAUGGUUUUUUUUGAGCUGUUUGGCGAAAAAUCCAUUUCUAUAACUUUGUUUCAGAGUCAGCUGGGGACUUGAUGGCCAUGAAAAAAGUCUUACUGUAUAUGUAUUAAAGCUGAAGCAAUUAACUCUUGAUUAUAAACAAAAACAAUUUGGAUAAAUCUUGAGGUGUCGUAGUUAUCGAAAAUUACUUUGGAGUUGUCAAGGACGAUGAUCAGCAUCAUCAGAUGGAACUGCCAGCUGGUUUUCGAUAUCAAUUUCUUUGCUAUUGCUGUUGGUGCUGUAGAUUUGAACAAAAUUGAACCUUGGGACCUCCAAUGUUGAGCCUUUUCAUUUAUUUGUUGGAAAUUGUUACUAAAACUCACUGGAGGCCAAAUGAAUAUCGUAAGGUUUUGAAGGUAAAGUUCUUUUGAGAUUCAGUUUGUAGUAUUCAUUAGUCUAGAUAUAAAACUACUAACUUGGUGUUUGUUCUUGUCAUUGUUUACGGGACGACAAGUGUUUGUACCUUGGAUUGAUGAUUGUAGACAAGAGCCCAAAGAGGGUAUCACAUUCUCUGAAAGAACCUCUGCUAAGAAUCGCCCUUGUGCAUCCCAGUGUCUCCUUCAAAAUUGUUGAUAUUGAAAGUGAGUAUGACCUACUUUUCACACGUGCUUCACCUUCCCCAUUGCCGCUAUUUUCCAGUGGGUUUGGGAUUCAUCUGAGUUCCCUUAAUAAUUUGAAUGCAAUCGAUGGUUCAUUCAAGCUCACCGUUGUGAUUUGACUUAUACUGCCCAAGAUCUUUAUAUGAUUUGACUUUGGAGUCUCUAUGGUACAAGGUUUCGUGUAUUUUGGGGGUUAAUCUAACUGAUGUGGAUCUGAUAGAAUUUUUUUAACAGCAACAACAAAGAUGAAGACAAAUGUAUAGUUGCUUAUACUUCAAGCCACUCUAUUUGAUCAUUGCUAUGUGGAAUUCAUUCAGCGCCAAGUUUUAAGUUACAGCUUACCGAAGACUUGACCUUAGAUAGGAGUGUGUGGAGGAUCCGCAUUCGGGUAGAAGGCUAGUACAUAGUCGCGUUAUCCUACCCUAUUAGUAGGCGCAUUAGCGCACUAUAAUUUCCUUUGUGGAGGACUCAGAUUAGGAUUAAAGGCUAAGUGAUUCAUCUUUUGCACCAUAGCAGUUGUAGUUCUGCUCA